rnacentral:rRNA from 1 species
CCUACGGGUGGCAGCAGUGGGGAAUAUUGGACAAUGGGGGGAACCCUGAUCCAGCCAUGCCGCGUGUGUGAAGAAGGCCCUCGGGUUGUAAAGCACUUUCAGUGAGGAAGAACGCGUGGUGGUUAAUACCCAUCGGGAAAGACAUCACUCACAGAAGAAGCACCGGCUAACUCCGUGCCAGCAGCCGCGGUAAUACGGAGGGUGCGAGCGUUAAUCGGAAUUACUGGGCGUAAAGCGCGCGUAGGUGGCUUGAUAAGCCGGUUGUGAAAGCCCCGGGCUCAACCUGGGAACGGCAUCCGGAACUGUCAAGCUAGAGUGCAGGAGAGGAAGGUAGAAUUCCCGGUGUAGCGGUGAAAUGCGUAGAGAUCGGGAGGAAUACCAGUGGCGAAGGCGGCCUUCUGGACUGACACUGACACUGAGGUGCGAAAGCGUGGGUAGCAAACAGGAUUAGAUACCCCUGUAGUC